ACCUACGGGAGGCAGCAGUGGGGGAUAUUGCACAAUGGGGGAAACCCUGAUGCAGCGACGCCGCGUGAGCGAUGAAGUAUUUCGGUAUGUAAAGCUCUAUCCGCAGGGAAGAAAAUGACGGUACCUGACUAAGAAGCCCCGGCUAACUAAGUGCCAGCAGCCGCGGUAAUACGUAGGGGGCAAGGGAUAACCGGAUUUACUGGGUGUAAAGGGAGCGUAGACGGCAGUGCAAGUCUGAAGUGAAAGGCAAGGGCUCAACCCUUGGACGGCUUUGGAAACUGUUCUGCUGGAGUGUCGGAGAGGCA
rnacentral:rRNA from 1 species